UGGGACUGAGACACGGCCCAGACUCCUACGGGAGGCAGCAGUGGGGAAUAUUGCACAAUGGGCGAAAGCCUGAUGCAGCGACGCCGCGUGAGGGAUGACGGCCUUCGGGUUGUAAACCUCUUUCAGCAGGGAAGAAGCGAGAGUGACGGUACCUGCAGAAGAAGCGCCGGCUAACUACGUGCCAGCAGCCGCGGUAAUACGUAGGGCGCAAGCGUUGUCCGGAAUUAUUGGGCGUAAAGAGCUCGUAGGCGGCUUGUCACGUCGGUUGUGAAAGCCCGGGGCUUAACCCCGGGUCUGCAGUCGAUACGGGCAGGCUAGAGUUCGGUAGGGGAGAUCGGAAUUCCUGGUGUAGCGGUGAAAUGCGCAGAUAUCAGGAGGAACACCGGUGGCGAAGGCGGAUCUCUGGGCCGAUACUGACGCUGAGGAGCGAAAGCGUGGGGAGCGAACAGGAUUAGAUACCCUGGUAGUCCACGCCGUAAACGGUGGGCACUAGGUGUGGGCAACAUUCCACGUUGUCCGUGCCGCAGCUAACGCAUUAAGUGCCCCGCCUGGGGAGUACGGCCGCAAGGCUAAAAC
rnacentral:rRNA from 1 species